AACUAUAACGGUCCUAAGGUAGCGAAAUUCCUUGUCAGGUAAGUUCUGACCCGCAUGAAAGGCGUAAUGAUUUGGGCACUGUCUCAACAGCCCGCCCGGCGAAAUUGUAGUACCGGUGAAGAUGCCGGUUACCCGCGACAAGACGGAAAGACCCCAUGGAGCUUUACUGUAGCCUAAUAUUGGGUUUCGAUGUUGCAUGCACAGGAUAGAUGGGACACUGGGAAACAAUCGCUUUGGCGGUUGCGGAGUGGCCGUUGGGAUACCAUCCUUGCGAUAUUGGAAUUCUAACCUGCGCCUUUGAAUCAAGGCGGGGGACAUUGUUAGGUGGGCAGUUUGACUGGGGCGGUCGCCUCCUAAAGAGUAACGGAGGCGUUCAAAGGUUCGCUCAGCUUGAACGGAAAUCAAGCAAAAGAGUGCAAACGCAGAAGCGAGCCUAACUGCGAGACUGACGGGUCGAGCAGUAACGAAAGUUGGAGUUAGUGAUCCGGUGGUAUGUGAGUGGAAAUGCCAUCGCUCAACGGAUAAAAGUUACCCUGGGGAUAACAGGCUGAUCUCCCCCAAGAGUCCACAUCGACGGGGAGGUUUGGCACCUCGAUGUCGGCUCAUCGCAUCCUGGGGCUGUAUUCGGUCCCAAGGGUUUGGCUGUUCGCCAAUUAAAGCGGUACGCGAGCUGGGUUCAGAACGUCGUGAGACAGUUCGGUCCCUAUCUGUCGUGGGCGCAGGAAAUUUGAGAAGAGCUGUCCUCAGUACGAGAGGACCGGGAUGGACGCAUCAAUGGUGGACCAGUUGUCACGCCAGUGGCAUAGCUGGGUAGCUAAAUGCGGAAGGGAUAAACGCUGAAGGCAUCUAAGUGUGAAACCCACUUCAAGAUGAGAUUUCCCAUUGCGCAAGCAAGUAAGACCCCUUAAAGACGAUAAGGUAGAUAGGUCAGGAGUGUAAGCAUGGUGACAUGUUAAGCGGACUGAUACUAAUAGGUCGAGGGCUUGACCG
rnacentral:rRNA from 1 species